CACUUGCAUUAGCCAUAUUUCAAAUGCUCAGUAGCUGCAUGUGGCUUGUGGCUCCUGUGUUUGACAGCUCAGAUCCAGAGGUACACAUACAUAUUCUGGUGGUUUUCAAAAGCAUAAUGAUGUAAGAAUAAAUAGAAGAAGAACAUGAUUUAUAGUGAACUACUGUUUAAAUAAAUUGAGCAUAAACAAAGAAACCCACCCCCAGUAUUUUAUUUUUCACGAAAACAUAGAUAUGCACUGAGGCAUAUGGAAAAUAUUUGGGAAGGGUAAGCCUGUGUCUGUAGGGUGAGGUAGCAAGGAUCAGGAAAGGCAGAUCAGAAGGAGAAACCUAAGUGACAUCUUGGAGCGUUCAGGCUGCUGGUGUGCUGUGGGUUAAGAAACUUACCCAACUCAUUUCUAGGCACUCAGCAUUAAAACAAAAAGCAGUGAGAGUUAACUCUGCUGAAAACUGUUAAUAUUGGGCUCAAUGCAAAAUUAUGGUUUUACAAUCAUGUUUUCAAGUACUCCAUUUUGAAGUUCCUUCUAAAACAGUAACUGAAUGAUGCUGGUUACUACCACAGUUAAUGUCAUCAGAGGGCAUCACUGCAAAAAGAUCAGAGGACAUUUGCCUGAAAGCCUGUCACUCUUCUGAUAAACAUGGUUUCCAAGUAUCACAUUCUCAGAACACGUUGAGUGUGGAAAGAUCCAAAAUGAAGCCUGUACAAUGAAGCCCUCAUAAAGCAGAGGGAAGCCCUGCAGUUUACCCACUGCUGUUCUGUAGAACAUCAAUAUGCCUGCUGUUAUGGGCUGCAUUGUGCUUCCCCAGAAUUUCAUACCCAAGUCCUAACCCACAGUACCUCAGAAUGUGACCGCAUUUGUAGAUAAGGCCUUUGGAAAAAUAACGUAAAAUGAGGCCAUUAGAGUGAGUCCCCAUCUGGUCUGGCUGAUGUACUUAUUCGUGGAGGAGAUUAGAACACACAAAGGGACAUGGGAAGAUGCACACACGGUGAGAGACAGGCCUCACGAGAACCCAAACCUGCCCACACCUGGAUCUUGGACUUUCAGUUUCUAGAACUGUAAGAAAAAUUUCUGUUACUGAAGUCACUCAAUAUGUGGUUAUGGCAACUCUACUAAACCGAUACACCUACAUUUUAAAAUACAUCAGAUAGCUUUAGAUGCUGAACAACAUUAAGAGCAGAAACCUGGAGUCAGAUGGGGUUGACCUUAAAUCCAGUCUGCACAUUACUAGCUCUGGGACUCAGUAUGUAGCGGACUGGUUUGUGAAGUGGGGAAUAAUAAUUGUACUUGCCUCAUAGGGUUAUUGAGGGAGAUUAAGUGAAUGAAUGGAAAUAAUUAUUGCCUAAGGGUUAGUUAUUAUUCUAAUCAUUAUAAUUAGAUGUCACAUUCUGGUUGUCAUAUUUUCAGUAUUUACAUAUACCUAGUGCACCUGAGGAACCAGGGUGACCUAGCAGAUCAGUUCAUGCCAGGUGUGGUUUUAAGAAUCAUAAAGAUAAGACAUUAAGGACUGUUGUCUGGUUUCUCUUUUGUUUUCAAUGGCUCCUGCUACAAGAGCAUGGCUUUGAAUUAGCUGCUGGAGUUUUGAAAUUGAACAUGAUUUAUCCUGAGUUUUCUUUUAGGAAUGGUCAGUGUCCAUAUGUGUAAAUGUCCAUAUGCAUUUGGAAGUACUGAGAGAUUAAACUCAGCAGUUACAGGCAUGAGAAAGAAUAACCACCUCUAUAGCAUCGCGUGUGACCGCUAACGUCAGAAAGAACCAGCACUGUAACAAUGUGGAUAGCAUUCUGUCGUAUCUUAAAUUUCUUUUUCCUACUAGAAUGCGUUGAGGACGGAAUUAGCCCUUACAAACCAGAGGGCAGUACUGCUGUGCACCACUGACUGUUACGUUUUGUGGAACAUGUCUGCAAUAUGCUCACAUUUUAAAAUUUAACAAAUUCCUACCAAAAUGUCACUCUUUGCUGUGUGAAAGCAGUCUCUUCAGUGUGCUUGAAGCUGGUUACCUUCACACAUCAAGUUUUAGCAGAUAAAAGUGGGCACUUCAUAUUCAAUGGAUGUGCUGAGAAUAGCCCUGUUUAUAUACUCGAUUUCGUAAAAUCACAUAACCUUUUGUAAUACAUAAAAGGGACAGUGGGAUCAGAGAAAGCUGUUUACAUGUCAGAUAAACAAGUCAAAAAGUUUCAUGGAAAUUACUUAUGACCUGCGUGGCAUCAGAAAGCUUGCGCUGAGUUUUUUACAUAUUUCUCCAGAAUGUCUCUGAUUUACAAAAAAUGCUAUCAAUCCCCUUUUAGAUACAAAAUUUUCUACUAUCUGUAAACACUGCUGGCUUUCUUGGUUGAUUUCUUGUCUUUCCCAUUCUCUCCUCCCUGUUCUGUUUCCCCAUAUGGAACUGUUUCUCUUUCAGGUGUCCUUUCUCAGGCAGAGACUAGCUCUGUUUGUCUUUUUUAUUUUUCCCCCUAAAUUUGUGAACAAGUCCUAGUGUCCAUGAAAGUGGAGAACUAAUGGAAUUGCCUGGAGGCAGUCAUAUAUACUUUAGACAGGUGCUGCGCAAACUUCUGCUGUCAGCUCGCCGAGCCCUCUUCAAUUCCAGCUUGUAAACACCGAUGGCAGCCCAGCCUGCACAGUUGCUGCCAGCUACUGAUUAUUCCAUUGACAGACGCAGCUGGCUUGACCGUGCUUCCUGAAUUGAUUGGUGUUCCUUAGAAAUCCACCUGUUUAUUGAACACCCUGUGUUUGCCUAAAUUCAACAUUUGGUUCUGCAGAAUGGUGAAACUGGGCAUGUGUGAGAUGGUAAUUGCUUACAAAAAAGGCCAUGGAAAUUAGUAAAUGAAGCAUGUGAAAAGCAGCUUUAUUGAAUGGUCUGUUGUGUUAAGUACUUUGAAUUUACACGUAUGGCCCAGUGCCUGCCUAGAAUUAUUUAUAUAUGAAAUAUUAGGCAGAAAUAUAGGAUAAAUCUAUACAUACUUCUAGAAACUCAAGCUGAUCAUUAAUGAUGGAAGAAAAAGAUUUUAGAAGGGGAUAGAGUUUGAUUGUAACCAAAAAUUAGAGUUGGCUGUAGAAAUAUACAGAAUCUCCACCCUAACCCUCCUUCCUGGGCUCCAGAUACAUAGAGCAAACUACUGCUGGUGAUCUCUAGUUAGAUGAACCUCACCAUGCCUUUCUAAGACUGCGCUCCUCCAGGUGUUCCUCCUUAUCCAUUCUCCAUUUCAGUUGAUCCAGAGACUUGGAAAUCACCCACGAUCUCCCUGUUUCUCAUCCUCACAUUCAAAUUUUUUUCAGUUCUGGCUCCUAAAUAUUUUUCAAAUCAAUCCAUUUGCUUCCAUCCUGGAGGCACAUGUCUUCUCUGGAGGGAGAAUGGAAGGGAGGGAGGGAUGGAGGGAGAGAGGGAAGAGGAGAGAGCUCUUUUACUUUCUUUUAAAUUUUAUUUGUAAUAAAAAAUACCAAAACACAUAAAAUGUACCAUCUGAUAAUGUUUGACUGUGUCCCCACCCAAAUCUCAUCUUGAAUUCCCACCUGGGAGGGAAUUGAAUCAUCGGGGCAGGUCUUUCCUGUGCUGUUCUCAUGAUGGUGGGUGAGUCUCACAAGAUCCGAUGGUUUUAUAAUGGGGAGUUUCCCUUCACAAUCUCUCUCUUUGCCUGCUGCCAUUCACAUAAGAUGUGACUUGCUUCUCCUUGCCUUCUGCCAUGAUUAUGAGGCCACCCCAGCCAUGUGGGACUAUAAGUCCAUUAAACCUCUUUCUUUUGUAAAUUGCCCAGUCUAGGGUAUACCUUUAAAGAAUUAUCAUGGGUUUAAUGUCCCAAAGAAUUGACAGAAGCAGACUGGCCACUUCCAUACUACUUAGGUGAUUUUCAUGAUUUUAGGGUUUUACUUGGCUGUAAAAUUUCCUCUGGGCUGCAAAACCACACAGUAAUCUGUUUGGGAAUGAACUCUUUAGCAGAAGUCAAAGGCAGAAAAAUCAGUGUAGCUGGGUUUGGCUUGUAACAGUUAAAAGAGAAAUGGAAAGUAUUGGAUUUUGGAUAAGUACUUUUGCUUCACAGUUUUAGGGUUGAGUAGAUGUUAAAAUAUCACUCACCACAUUAGCCUGUCGUUUGGGUUAUUCUGUUUUAUUAUUUUGAAAACAUAAAGCCAACCAAGUAAUUAAGUGGGCUGCACACUGUCUGACGUUUCAUAUAAAGAAACAUUAGACUCUUCAGCACAUCAAAUACUAAUCAGUUCAGUCAGACUUUUUUUUGUUUAAUAUGUUAUGUCACUGAUAGAGACAUGAGGAAAAGCCACGAGUAUCUAAUCAAUGGGAGGUUUAUUGCAUUAGUCAUGGAUUUUGGAGGGAUAAAACAUAUUUUAUACAUAUAUAACGUGCACAGAAUAUGUGCACACAUAUGAUGCUGGGCAGUUGUCAAAAAUGCUCAGGUUCAAAAGGUUAAAAGAGAUCCUAUUGUGUAAGGCUCAAGAUCUCGGGUUGACUUUCUAGAUACUUUGAGUUCAGAUUUCGCCUUUACUCUGGAUUAGCUUGUAGCUUUAGCAAGAUACAUAAUCUCUCCGUCUGUAAAAUGGAGCUAGUAAUAUCAAUCUCACCUUGUGACAAUGGCAUAACAUUAUCAUGGUAAGUGACUGGCAUGGAACUAGAAAAAAAGUAGGUGUUGUAGAAAGUAGGAGGUAUUGUUACUAUCUCCAACCAGGCAAGAAAAAUAGUUUGUCAUCGUUAUUGGUUCACAAGGAGUUAUAUUAAAAGAAUUAUCAUGGGUUUAAUGUCCUUCCCUCACAGUCCUCAGAAGAAACCAACUCCGCUGACACGUUGGUUUAGGCCUCUGUCCUCAGAACUGUGGGAUUGUACGUGUCUGUUCUGUAAGCCACGCAGUAUGGGCUACUUUGUUAAGUUCAUCCUAGCAAACUAAUACAGUCCUACAGAGGAAAUAUUGACGGUCGGACUGUGGAGGAAAGAAACAAGUAAGAUACUUGAGGUUACAUUUUCCAUUCAGAAUGCUAUUUCAGUGUAGGUAUAUUUGUAGUGUGCUUUUUCCAAGCUCAGAAACUGAGAACAGGGAGCUGCUUCUGAUGAAUUUCUAAUGCCUUUUCCUGGGGGAUUGAUUGAACACAAAGAGCUCAGAGCUAUCUUCCAGCCAUCUGCAAGAGAUGUGUUUUUGUACACCUUUGGUAACAUCUAAGUAGGUUGGCACAAAAGGGCCUUCCUCUGAGAGGGUUCUGUGGAAAGGUGGCCGUGAUUGCACAAGCAUGUAAACAGGGAGUAUUAUUUUUUUAUUGCAUAUUUCUUUAAAAUGUGGAUAUUUUCCAAAAAGCUAAACAAAAUAUAUCUCAGAAAUGAGAAUAAGAAUUUGGAAGGAUAAAAUGAGUUAUUCAUGAAAACAUGAUUUUUUCAAUAGAUUUUUGGUAAUAAUGGAUAAGCUUCCAUAUUUCUCUAUCUGCCCUUCUCUUGACCUUUGUCCCAAAACAAAUGUGGUGUGGAAAGAUUGAAAGAAACAAUUUCAGGUAAUGACAGAAAACAACAGAAAUCCAAGUUUCUUUUGUGGGUGUCCUGAGUGGUCUCGGGUGGCAUCUUCUCCCUGCGGGGCUGUGUGAACAUUUCUUCUUCUUACUUGCUUGUAUCUUCCCUGAGUUCACAGAAGUGGGGUCCCACAGACUUAAUUAAGAUGCCACCAUUAAUAAAGACCGUACAUAGCAGGCAAGUUCUGAUCCUCUGCUCCUUGCUUUCUCCACUAGCCUAACGGUAAACAUGUGUGUGGCUAAUUAACUUAGUGUUUCUUCCAAAGGCUUGAUUCCAUCCUUGGUGGUAAUUACUAUUCAGGGCAUUGCUAUACUUUGACAUUUUCCUGAAUUAUAAAUUAUUGGUGUCUGAAAGAAGUCACUGACUCAAGAGAAAAACAUAGAAGACAAGCUAGAAGGAGAAUGAAAGUAAUUCUGAGUUGGUUUCCUCUCCUCCAGAGGUCAUUAUGAAGGCGGCAAAUGCUCCCGGGACACAUUGGGAAUGCCCCGUGUACAAGUGAGACUCUGGGGAACAGUCAGAUCUGCAGGUCUCCUUCCAUAGGGUCAUGCCAGGAUCAUAGGGUAGGUUGCUAAUAGGGUGGCUUCAGGUUUGGAGGUGGGAGUUGUAAAAAUAUUUCAUGCACAGGUACUUCUUGUUUUAUGACUUAAUUUUAAAUGCAUCAGUAGCUUUUUAUUUAGAAAAGUCCUUCAGAGAUGUGUUUUAGAUACGUAUUUGACACCUGUGGUUUGUCUCCUUGGCAAACCCCACUUUCUAGCUUUUAGGGGAGCAAUGGGUUUGCUAUUGUGAGCUCCUAAUACAUUUUGAGGCCCCAGGAUAGUUUACCCCCACCUAGAAUUGGCUUCAAGAAGUACAGCUCAGCCGCCCAAUGUUAAUUAAAAGGAAAUCCAGUCUUGAAUCUCUCAAAGAAACAGGAAGCAAUUCAUUCCCCUCAGCAAUAUUUCUCCCUUUUCUUGUUGGUGCCCUGGAGUCGCCCCAGGACCGUGUAGAGGCCAGCUCCUCAGUCCCUCCUUCUAGUUCUUAUCUGGUCCAGCUUUUCGUCCUGUUUGUUUCCUCUCCCCAGUCCUAAAUCUUUAUGAUACAGACUUAGCCUCUGUGGUUCUCUUUAAGCCCCCUGAACCAGUUUCACAGAUUUUGAAGCAUAAGAGAGCCAGAACCAGGAUUGGGAGAAGGAAAUAGAGAGAAGGUAAGUGUGAGGAGGAUGGGGAGAUUCACAAAUGAAUGAAUUAUGACUCUGUUUCACCCCCUACUAAUUAUCACUGAGUUAUAGUAUGAUGAAAGUAAGGUCAAGAAAGAAGGAAAUUAUCAUUGAUUAGGUGACACCAACUUUUUGGAUGCUAUCUUCAUUAGACAUGUUUAUGUGUGUCAUCUUUAUAGGCAACUGACAGUUAACAAACAUUUGUACCUAUAAGAUAAACAUUUGUUAAUCAUCAGUCACCUAUAAGAUAAACAUUUGUUUGGUGAUCUAUUACUGAGGGAUUUUUGCUCAUUAUUGUAUUUCCAUGAUAUUGUACCUGGCAUAUAUUUGGUUCUCCAUAAAUAUUUAUAUGACAUAUAAACAAUAUUGGAUCAGUGACUAUUCAGUGCAAAUUUGUGAACUCUUAUAAUUUCUCCCAUUUCACAGAUGAGGACGUUUAGACUCUGACAAGUUAAAUACUUUACUAAAGUUAAGACUUCUCAGCAGUGACAGCGUUAAUGUUUUCAACUCAAUAUAUUUGGUUCUAAUAUCUUCAACUGGGCUGCAGUGCCUGAGCUACCGUCUUCUACCAUCGCCUUCCGAGUGGAAGAGUACUGAAUUCGCCAUGUGAACAUUUUAUAGGACUAUUUUUUGCUUUUGCUGUUACUACAUUAUUUCUAUGAUAACCAUAUAGAAAAAUAAGACAAAUUGAAAAUGAGGUAUUUAGUGCAACUUUUUACAUACAAUAUUAUUGAUAAUCCAGCUCUCAAUUAUCUGUACCUUAAUUAGCUGCUGUUUUGAUGAUCUGCAUUCUCCAAGGACUCUCCGCCUGUCCCUAGGCUGUCUUCCCCGCAGCAGUAUUUUCCCAUCACCUAGCUUUGUUGAAGUUUGAGGCAUUAGAUAUCAUCCCAGCUACUAGCUUUUAAACUUUUUAUGUUUGGUUACUCAGUGACAAUCUUUGGGCAAGCAUGAUCUCAUGCCAGAGCCCCAUGUAUGAAACAAAUAGAAGCAGAGCUGCUCAGAUGACGGGAGAAAGGUGCUCAGAAUCUGCUGGCCCGUCCUGCCUUCCAGCUUCUCAGAGUGCCUAAGACUUCUCAGGACAGAGAAAUCUUUCACAUCCACUGACCUAGAUGAAUUCUCUUAAUUUUAUGAUCCAGUGAACCAGAUAUAGAAAGGCUAAUUCUCACAGAAUUAUUAGUGACUCUGAAAGGUUGAGACGUCAGGCUAGGGCAUUGUGACCAUAGCGAAUAUAUCCACGUGUAGGAUGCUGCAUUGAGAAUUGCCUGAGGUUGUAUAACCAGUUAGAGCUCCGCACCUCCUCUCUCAAACAGCCUGAGGUGUGCCUUUCACCUAAACACUUCACUAAAUCAGUGUGAAACCCUGGAUAAGAACCACUAUCCUAGGGCAUCAUUUACAAAGAACAUGAUUUAAAGUUUUGCAGCAUUCAUGUAAAAGGACUUGCAGGUUGCUUGAUCGUGGAAGACUGAACUGGAGAGAGAAAGGUGUUGAUUCAUAUUCUGUGAGAAUGCCAAAUUAGUUUGGGCUACUCUUUGCCUUCAGAUGGCAUCUGAACUGUGCUGCCUGGUUGCUCCAUUGGCUUGGCCAACUUUAUGGAAGAUCUGAUGGAAAUCGGAAUUCUUAGUGUCUCUUGAGUGGCAUCAGCAAACCUAAAUUUGGAAUCCAUGCUUUUCAAAACCUGAUGGAGCUUGCGCUAGAAGAAUCCUAUCUAUGUGGGAGCUGAGACCCACGUUUGUUUCACUCCAGCCACCCUAUGGAAGUAUGUGCCCAGGGCCCUUCCCUUGUUCACAUACUAGUGAAAUGAAACUGUGUAUACGGUGAGGGUACCAUUAAAUUAUUUGUGUUGGAUGUGGUUUUCUAGAUCUCCAGGGAAUUGCAGAUUUUUAGUAUUAAUUUCUAAUCUAUACUUCACUAAAAAGCUUUUCACAGAGUUUUUGAAAUGAUUCUCAUAGCAAAGUAUAUCUGAAGUUUAAAAUAAUCUCUCCUUGGAGUUAGAUUAAGGUAUUUCUUUAGCUGCUGAGUGCACUUUAUUUCUUCUAUUGCCAUACUCCUUCAACUCUUUUUUUUUUUUUGAGACGGAGUUUUGCUCUUGUUACCCAGGCUGGAGUGCAAUGGCGUGAUCUCGGCUCACUGCAACCUCCGCCUCCUGGGUUCAAGCAAUUCUCCUGCCUCAGCCUCCUGAGUAGCUGGGACUACAGGUGCGCACCACCAUGCCCAGCUAAUUUUUGUAUUUUUAGUAGAGACUGGGUUUCACCAUGUUGACCAGCAUGGUCUCGAUCUCUUGACCUUGUGAUCCACCCGCCUCGGCCUCCCAAAGUGCUGGGAUUAUAGGCGUAAACCGCUGCGCCUGGCCACUCCUUCAACUCUUAACCUCUGCGAGCAUUUUUACAUGUUCAUUUUCAUAUUGGUGUGUUCCCAUUCUCACGUUUACACAUUAUGGACAGACUCUUUUGAGUGACAGUUAAUUUUCCUUUUCAGUACUCUCCUAACCAGAAUUAACUAAAUUCUAGACACUUCUGUAUAUCUCUAGGACAAUAGCAAUAAUAAUAGAUUUUCAUAAUGGUUACUGUGAGACAUUGCAAAUCCCAGGAAUGACUUUAUGUCAUUAAGAAAGGGGGAGAGGGAGUUCUUGAAAAAACAUUUUUUAUUGCUUUCUGAUUGAAGAAUGGCAGCUACUUGGUAUAAAUGCUAGUAUUUUUUCCUCCCUCAUGGCAGUCAAAACUAAUAAAUUCCUCAGUUCUUUCCUCCCGGUCCUUAUCAGAGCUUCAGAAUCCUCUUCAACAUGCUGCUCUAAGUAACUACUGCAACUUGGUGGAGUUAGCACAAGAGGUAAAACCUAUUUAAGAAUAGACUGCCCCAGCACUUUGGGAGGCCAAGGUGGGCAGAUCAUGAGGUCAGGAGAUUGAGACCAUUCUGGCUAACACAGUGAAAUCCUGUCCCUACUAAAAAUACAAAAAAAUAGCCAGAUGUGGUGGCAGGUGCCUGUAAUCCCAGCUACUCAGGAGGCUGAGGCAGGAGAAUUACUUGAACCCAGGAGGCAGAGGUUGCAGUGAGCCACGAUGGUGCCACUGCACCCCAGCCUGGGAGACAGAGUGAGACUCUGUCUCAAAAAAAAAAAAAGAACGAACUUGCCCUAGUCACUGUGACCACAGUGAUCAGAGGCCCCUGCUGACCUGUAAUUCAGGGUCCUACUGCCAGAGCAGCUACCAUGGCAAAGCAUUGCUGCUUGUCUUGGUGAAGGAAAUAAAGCUUUUGGUCACAUACUAGCAGUUAAGGGCUUUAGCCCAGAAGUGACAUCUAUCAUUUUUGCUCACAGUUACUUGACCUGUGUUUGUUGAGCUUCGCCCAACUGCAAGGGCCCAGAAGGCCUACCAUAUGCCCAGACAUGCAGUAACCUGAACUGUUUGGCAAACAGCACUAAUGACUGCCAUUUCCCAUUUGAUGUAUUUUAAGGCUCAACUUCUCAGCAUAUUUCAUUUCACAGAAUGCUCUCUUUCUCUGCCCAUGUGAUUCAUAGGACGUGUAUUCAACUUUUUGUUUGAAAACCAAAAAACUUCUUCAGGCCUCUCUACGUUUUAGGAAACGAUGCUGAAGAUUUCCAAAAAACAUCCUCUGAAGCAUAUGUCCUAUGUAGGGUUCUACAAUGUUAAUAGCAAUAAUAAAUAGUAAUUACUUUAUAGUUAAGCAAAUUGGAGCAAUGCUGCAUACUAUUGCUUAUUUUUGAGAAGUCAGAAUGCAUAUUAAGUACAGCAAAUAUUCUGAUGAAUACUGCAGUAAAGCGAGCUACUUUACUUCAUUUCAUCCAGUGUUCCUAAAUCUUUGACUACACAAUUUUUUCUUCAUGAUGUCUAAUGACAUCCCAUGGAAGCAGUGCUCUAGUAUCCCACUCUAGUAAAUACUGGAGUAGGUAUUAUACAUGGAGACUUCUGUAACCCGGAGAGGCUUUGAAAUAGCAUGGAGAAUGUAAUAGCAUUGUGACACAUUCCACUUGCCAGGAUUUUCACUUAAUAGCUACGUGACUUUGGUCAUGCAGUAUAACUUCUUGGCCUCAGCUUCUAAAUCUGGACAUUGGGAGGUGAUAUUAUCUAACUCAAAGGGUUAUUGAUUGUGGCUAGCCCAUAGUAGGCAGCAAACAAAUGUAUGUUGUUUCCUUCCUUUAAUGUUACCAUUUACUUCUUUCCCAUGUACUUAGUUUAGAUGAGCAUAUUUUUUUCCAGAUAUGAUGCUCUUAUCUGAAUCAGAAUAGGAUUCCUUUGCCUUGAAAAGUUCAUAGAAAAAUGUAUGAAAUUCAACCAAAGAAUCUGUACCAGAAUGCUGUCAGGCUGCAGGCUCCUUUUUCAAUUUACUUUCUUUGAAAGACACCUGUUUACUUCUCUCUUUAAAAGUGAUUCUUACUUUUGAGCAUCCAGAUCAGUACAGGAGUUUUGAGGGCAGCUCAGGGCAUGCUGCCUAGAAAAGGAUACCUGGCUUCUCUUCCUCCAGGUGACCAAAGACUCAUCAUAUCUCUGACCCAAAGCAUAUCCCAGGGCAAAACAUGAGAUAGUGGAUAUUUGUGAGAUGCUUGCCUUGAGAACCAGCUCUGAGCAGAGUACUAUCAUUAUCUUAAUCACACUGCUCUGGAAUUUAUCAUAUUCUGGAAAUCACAUUUGCUUAAAAUUACAUCCAUGUCAUUUAUGCUUAUGGUUGAUGAAUAUCCCAUGAACCCUUUAUUGAGUUACUGAAAUGAGUAUGUUAAUACCCAGUGAAAAAAGGUGUGGCCCAAACUAGCAAGAUGCUUCUUCAGAAUUGUAUUUAUUAAUGUUUCAGGGUGAUGGUUCUACCUUUCUGAUAUGAAAAUUCACCAAAGUGCUUACAUUGUGAAUAGAUUACACUUUGAGAUGCCAUCUACUUUGACUCAAAGCUCUGUAACUGUGCUAUUUAAAUCAAUUAAUUUGAAUAUUUUCUUGAAAAGUAGCUCACAGUCCAUCCUGCUGUUGUUUUGUGAAGUGACAUUAAGAAUUGUUUUAAACAUUUACAAGGCCUAGGAGUGUUUGUUACAGCAAAUAACGAAUUAUAUAGGGUCUGCAGUGCAAGCUGGAAUGUUCCUCGCUUAUCACUAACUACUUACAGAUCUGCAGUAGGGAUGAGUACAAUCUCUUCUUUUUUAUUACUUCAGAAGAAUGGCUAAUUUUAUGUUUGUAUUAUUUGAUACUGCCUUACUUCAUAUUAAUAUAUACACAGGCUAAUCAGCCGCAUCCAAGUCAAUGCUAUUUUGACGAUCUGCUUUAUUUUGGUGACUUCUAUAUUCUGAAUCCCUAGAAUAUAUCAGAUAUAGAAAACUAAAUGGGGGCAGGUCUGAGCAACUCUGAUCAUAAUAUUCUGCUCUCGUCUUUAAUUAAUCAUCUGAAUCAGUACAUUUCCAUUUCUCUGUCAGUGUUCUAUAUUUAAAUAUUUCAUAUUUGUCAUAGAAAUCCUCCUAAAAUUAUCUUUAAUCAUCAAUUAUUAUCCUUGAUGAGCACAUUUUGAACUUACCAAAUUUAUUUUGAAUAAAAAUGUGGCAGUAUAAUGGAAAUUUUAUGUGGUUGGGCAGAUUCUCACUUUUGCAGCAUCUCCCUUAGUUCUGACUCCACCAGGCUUUUGUGGUUCAUGAGGCAGUAUGGGAGGCCACAGAAAUGGCACAUGCAUCUCAUGUCGCGUGCUCAUUCUCACUGGUGGUGAUUGCUCAGAGGUUGCAUUGGCAAGGAUUUUGGGACACUCUGGUUGAAGGAGAUGAUUCUGUGAUUGAUUAUUGAUGUCUGCUAUAAGUUUAGCAUUGGAAAAUAGGGGCAGAUGUGCAGUGUAACAGAAAGAGCUUUGGGUGGAGAAGCCGAACAAUUGAGUUUCAAUCCCAAUCGUGCUCCUAACUGUGUGACUUUGAACAAAUCAAGUAACCUUUCUAGCCCUAUUUUUUAAAAUCUGACAGCCAAGGUGUUGGAGUAGGUGAUGUUUAAGAUCCAUCUCGGUCAGGUGGAGUGGCUCAUGCCUGUAAUCCCAGAGAUCGAGGUGGUGAGAUCACUUGAGAUCGGGAGUUCAAGACCAGCCUGAUCAACAUGGAGAAACCCCGUCUCUACUAAAGAUACAAAAUUAGCUGGCCAUGGUGGUGCAUACCUGUAAUCCCAGCUGCUCUGGAGGCUGAGGCAGGAGAAUUGCUUGAACCCAGGAGGUGGAGGUUUUGGGGAACUGAAAUCACAUCAUUGUACUCCAGUCUGGGCAGCAAGAGCAAACCUCCGUCUCAAAAAAAAACUUAUCUCAACUCUAAAAUGUCAUCCUGUAUUUACUCACUAGGGCAGCCAAGAUACAUUGGACACCUUGUUAAUUUUUACAACAUCCUUGGAACUUUCUGGGGUCCAUACCCCUUUUGACUGUCAUCUUUACACUCCUUUUAUUAAAAAACAGAAUAUCUCCCCCUUGAAUCUGGGUUUUGACUAGUACAAUGUAGGACAAUGUAAGCCUUAAGCAACCUCAGAGAUUCUGCAUCUGUUGGGAUGGAAGAGCAUGUAGAGUGAAGGGCCUAGUGAACCCAGCCUACCUUCCAUCUGAAAGCAGUUGCAUGAGUGAGUCCAGGUAAGACCCUCAGCAAAAACCAUCCAUAUAGACUUAUGGUGGUGAAACCUAUCAAUGUUGUUUUUUUGUUUUUGUUUUUUUUAAGGCAGAGUCUCGCUCUUGUUGCCCAGGCUAGAGUGCAAGAGUUUUACUCUUGUCACCGAGGCUGGAGUGCAAUGGCACAACCUUGGCUCACUGCACCCUCUGCCUCCCAGCCUCCUGAGUAUCUGGGAUUACAGGCACCUGCCACUAUGUACAGCUAUUUUUUAUUUAUUUAUUUUUUGAGAUGGAGUGUCGCUCUGUUGCCAGGCUAGAGUGUAGUGGCCUGAUCUUGGCUCACUGCAAUCUCGGCCUCCUGGGUUCAAGCAAUUCUCUUGCUUCUGCCUCCUAAGUAUUUGGGAUUACAGGCAUGUGCCACCAUGCCCAACUAAUUUUUGUAUUUUUGGUAGAGAUGGAGUUUCACCAUGUUGGCCAGGCUGGUCUUGAACUGACCUCAUGAUCUGCCCACCUCAGCCUCCCAAAGUGCUGAGAUUACAGGUGUGAGCCACCACACCCGACCCUAUCAAUGUUGUUUUAAGCCUCUAUGAUUUGGGGUAGUUUAUCAUGCAGCAGUAGGUAAGUCAUACAGAUACUGGAGGUCAGUCGGUGGCUCUCCUGUAUCUAGAAGGUCUGAGAUAUCUCCGACAGCUUCAUAUGCCUUAGAUCUUCAUACUGCCACUCAGUAGGCUAACUGGGAUUUUUCAUAGCAUGUUGGUCUCAGGGUUCCAAGAGAUCAAUAAUCAGAAGUUUCAAUGUUGCUUAAGGCGUAACCUUGGAAAGUCACACAGCAUCACUCCUAUAGAUUGGCUAUUUGACCCUCCGAACCUCAUGGUGAAAUUUGAUCCCUGACAUUGGAGGUAGGGUCUGUUGGAAAGUGUUUGGGUCAUGGGGGCAGAUCUUUCAUGAAUCAUUUGAUGCCACCUUUGUGGUAACCAGUGAGUUUUCUUCUGCUUCGUUAGUUCCCACAAGAGCUGGUUGUUGAAAAGGGUCUGGCACCUCCCUCCUGUCUCUCUUGCCUCCUUUCUCACCAUCUGAUCUCUGCAGACUGUUUCCCUUUCCACUUCUCCCAUGAAUGGAAGCAGCUUGAGGCCUUCACCAAAUGCAGAUGCCAGCAUCAUGCUUCUUGGACAACCUUCAGAAUUGUUAGCCAGAUAGACCUCUUUUCUUUAUAAAUUAGCCAGCUUCAGCUAUUCUUUCAUAGCAACACAAACACAAAGUAACGCAAACACUUUCACAGUAUUCCACUGAUUAGAGCAAGUCUCAAGGCCAGCCCAGAUUCAAGGGGAGGGGAAAUAGACUGCAACUCUUGAUGGAAAGAGUGGUAAAAUCACAGAGCAAAAGGGUGUGUAGUAUGGGAGAAAUUCUUGUGCUUAUGUUUGCAAAUAGCAAACCACACCAGUUAUGAGAAAGUCCAUAAUUCUCAGUAUUUAGACUGUCCAACAAGCAGUAGAUUCAGUGUGUCUGACAACCUGACCCAGUGAUAGAGGCUACAGUAUCUAAACAUUCUCAGGAGUCUGGCCUAUGAUGGAGCCCAAGUCACCUUGAAGCAACAAGUCAGGAUGAAGAAGGGCCAAAAUGCCAACUUUGUGUCUUUCUUUACUACUUCCAACUCAGGCAAGC